rnacentral:rRNA from 1 species
UACAGAGGGGGCAAGCGUUGUUCGGAAUUACUGGGCGUAAAGGGCGCGUAGGCGGCCUUCUAAGUCGAACGUGAAAUCCCUGGGCUCAACCCAGGAACUGCGUCCGAUACUGGGAGGCUUGAAUCCGGGAGAGGGAUGCGGAAUUCCAGGUGUAGCGGUGAAAUGCGUAGAUAUCUGGAGGAACACCUGAGGCGAAGGCGGGCUACUGGGCCGAUACUGACGCUGAUGCGCGAAAGCCAGGGGAGCGAACGGG